rnacentral:rRNA from 1 species
UGGGGAAUAUUGGAUAAUGGGCGAAAGCCUGAUCCAGCCAUGCCGCGUGUGUGAAGAAGGUCUUCGGAUUGUAAAGCACUUUAAGUUGGGAGGAAGGGCAUUAACCUAAUAGGUUAGUGUUUUGACGUUACCGACAGAAUAAGCACCGGCUAACUCUGUGCCAGCAGCCGCGGUAAUACAGAGGGUGCAAGCGUUAAUCGGAAUUACUGGGCGUAAAGCGCGCGUAGGUGGUUUGUUAAGUUGGAUGUGAAAUCCCCGGGCUCAACCUGGGAACUGCAUUCAAAACUGACUGACUAGAGUAUGGUAGAGGGUGGUGGAAUUUCCUGUGUAGCGGUGAAAUGCGUAGAUAUAGGAAGGAACACCAGUGGCGAAGGCGACCACCUGGACUAAUACUGACACUGAGGUGCGAAAGCGUGGGGAGCAAACA